UCUCCAAAAAUAAAUAUUUUUAAUUUUAUUUUUUAGUAAUUAGAGUAAAUAUAAUAUAUUUUAAUUAUAAUAUAUUAGGCAAAACUUAGGUCAAGUAAAAAAUCUUCAGUAGGGACGUCUGCAAACCAAUCCAAUGCAAUACAAAAUCAAGCCCAAAUAGAUGCUGCCUCAUUUGCAUUUUUGGGUCUAAAGCAUGAUUUCAUAAUAACAAAACGAUACAUGUCUAUGGAUUAAUCUAUGGUAUACUACUAUGUACAGGCUAUAAAUUUAUGAGUUUCUGACGAUGGUUCCUGAAUACAUGGUCUCCCUUUUAUCCUAUGCUUCCAAAGCUUAGAUCUUUGUGCCUUGAUGAUGAUAUAUAAUUUUCUAAAACGAAAUUUAGCUAACUUUCCUAAUAUUCCCUAGAUGAUGUGGCAUACCCCCGGUUUGGUUGCAAUGUGGAAAACGAAAAUUUAAAAGCAAGACCUGUUGCUUUCGAAAAAUGGAAGACCAGUUUGCGUCAACGAGUCCUUUAAAACAUAAAAGUGUCAUGGCUGGGACAAGUCGAAGGAGAAUCUAAGCAAAAGAAAAAAAAGGGUGCGUGAAUUUUUUCAAUUACUCUUUUUUAUUUUUUCCCCCCAAUUCCCUAGACAUCACGCGAUGGUCCACCAUCACUUAUUUCUUCCCAAAUAAAAUUCUCUCGCAUCAGAUUCUUCACAUGAUUCAUUUGCAUAAGCUUUGGAUGAAGUACAUCACCAUCAAUGGAUGCAUCAUUAGUCUAAUUAUUUAUCAAACAUUUGAAAUGCAUCAUCUAGAAACCUAUCAACGUCUGCCUCCAUUCCAUAAAUAAAUUAGUAUAAAACCUAUUUUCUUUCAAGAGCAUCAUAAAUUAUCUAACAACCCUCCAAAUCUAAGUCAAAAUGAAUCUAAUACCCUAGCAAGCAGUUCAUAUUAAAGUUCAACGCAUGCUGGGAAUAAGAUGUAAUUCACCUGUUCACAUCCUCGGCACGUAGAUUUAGACAAACAUUUCCUUUACUAAACCUGAUGUUAGAAAAUAGCCAGUGGGGACUUCUUUCAGUUUUCUGCCCUCUUUUUGAAACAUUCUCUGCACUCCAGUCUAGCUAUCAACCUAUUGCUUCAUUUUAUUUUCCCUAGUCCGGUAACGUUCAAAUCCUUAGCUUUAUAUAAACAAAGAAGCUUUACUUUGGGACUCCCUGCCGCCCCAUGAGCGUUGAGCUGAUUAUUUUAGCGACCGCGCACCAUCUUCGGAAGAGGACCACACUACCAUAAAAGUAGUAAUAAUGUCCAUAGUCUCAGUAGAUUUUUCUAAUUUUUUUUUUUAUCCUCUACUUUGCAAUAACCGUUGGAUGGCAAAAGACUAUAGCAUCUUCUAAACUAUGCAUGUAUAUCGAAAAGAUAAACAAGACCGCUGAUUGGAUCACUGCCUAGCACUUCUGAGAGGUUUUCUAAACAUAAAGUCGGUCCUCCAUUGCUUUAUCAUUUUCUUUCU
rnacentral:lncRNA from 1 species